rnacentral:rRNA from 1 species
ACGAACGCUGGCGGCGCGCUUAACACAUGCAAGUCGAACGGUAACGGGCCUUCGGGUGCCGACGAGUGGCGAACGGGUGAGUAACGCGUAGAUACCUGUCCUAUGGUGGGGAAUAACGUUUAGAAAUGAACGCUAAUACCGCAUAAGCCCUACGGGGGAAAGAUUUAUCGCCAUAUGGAGGGGUCUGCGUCGGAUUAGCUUGUUGGUGGGGUAACGGCCUACCAAGGCGACGAUCCGUAGCUGGUCUGAGAGGAUGAUCAGCCACACUGGGACUGAGACACGGCCCAGACUCCUACGGGAGGCAGCAGUGGGGAAUAUUGCGCAAUGGGGGAAACCCUGACGCAGCGACGCCGCGUGGGUGAAGAAGGCCUUAGGGUUGUAAAGCCCUUUCGACGGGGAGGAAGGCACCGGCGCGAAUAGCGUUGGUGAUUGACGUAACCUGGAGAAGAAGCACCGGCUAACUCCGU